rnacentral:lncRNA from 1 species
GUUCAAAGCCUGAUAGUUCCGUAACAGUGAUUCCGAAUGUAGAAGAUCAGAACAAGCGGCCACAGGCUGGUUUGCGGAAACGUUUGAGAGGUUUCGACGGGCGUGUCUUUUUACCCAUGAUGCUCAUUCGAAAAAAAGGAAAAACUCCACAAUGUACAUAAUAAUUAGUUUUAAUCACAUUACCUGGCUACUUUUUGCACAUCGGCCAACCCGCCAUAUCGUUACAUUUAAUUUUAUCUGGGUGUUUUUACCAAUAAUUACACAGUAAUUCAUCAUUGGGGGAAAAAAGUUGAAUGGAACAACUGACCAAUAGGCCUGUUGAUAACUACACAAUUUUCAUUUAAUUUAUGAAACUUUUAAUAUUACAAUAGUAUAACUUUAUAUAACUGUAUGCAGCAAUACAUAACAUAGGCCAUGUGAUACACACAUAUAAUUAAUUUAUGUUGCACUAUCAUAUUUUUAUACAUAAUCCAUCAUACUUUCUAAACAUGCAAUUAUAAAGAUAAGUAGCUCUUGCAAAUAACCUACAAUUUUUCAUUGCACAGGUAGGCUAAAGUCAGUGUGCGGUGCUCAUACAAAUCAAUCUGAUCUCGCGAGUUUACUUUCGGCUUCGCUAAACGCAACGAGAGCGCAGCGGUCAGGAUGGUCUUGGAUCAGGCUAUCAAACAAUGCCCCCUUCCUUCAAACACAAGAAUAACCUCUCCCCAAUUUUUACCCCCUCGCUUUGGUUCCAUCUGGAACAGAACAUAAUGGCGGUUGAUGGUGGUGGAGGGAGGAGCUGUGGCGUGCAUGAGCUCAUCUGUGCCAGAAGAGUGUCUCCAGAGCUGCUAGGAGUCCUAUCCUCCAUUGCGGCAUUCGUGGCCUUGAUGGCUCUAUUUUUUCUUUACGUCAGCAACAAGCUGUCAGUGGAGAGUGCCAGCGAGCUGCCAUGCCUCGACGACUAUAGGCCCAACCAGCAAGCCAGAGCCUGUGAUGAGAUGAUGAGAUAAUCUAGAACCCACCAGACAGUGUGGAGAAGGACAGCCACCACAGC